CAGAGUCUCACUAUGUUCUCUAGGCUGGUCUCAAACUUCUGGCCUUAGGCAAUCCUCCCACCUUGGCUUCUCAAAGUGCUGAGAUUACAGGUGUGAGCCACUGUGUCUGGCCCUCCAAAGUUUUUGAUCUGAACAAUUGGAAGGAUAGGAUUGCCUUUUCACUAUCUUCCUAUGUAGGUAACUUGAUCUGUCAUCAGAGAAAAGAGAUUACACGGGUAUAUACAAAAAUAUUGUUAACAAUUAUGUCUGUGUGGUAGGUCAUAGGUGAUGUUAUCUUUCUUUCUGCAUAACAAACAACCCCAGGCUCUUUUUUUUCUUUUUUUUUGAGACAGAGUCUUACUCUGUUGCUCAGGCUAGAGUGCAGUGGCGUGAUCUGGACUCACUGUAACCUC
rnacentral:lncRNA from 1 species